rnacentral:lncRNA from 1 species
UAAAUGACUAACUGGUAAAUCAUACUAGGACGUGAUUGACCGACCUUGAUUGUUAGCUAUAUUUGAGAAUCUAACCGAGCAAACCGAGGUGAGUUCACACUUUUCUACAAAGCAUGGUAAUUUCCCGGUGGGAAUGGGAAUGGGUACAGGAAUAGGGAUUCCUCGUCCUUUGGGACGCGUUCAGGAAUGUGAAUUCCUCGUCCUUGAGACGUGUUCAGGAAUGUAAAUUCCUCGUCCUGUUGGGACGUAUUAGACUUACUGGACUAGAACUCUAUCAGCGAAGUCCCUCCCUUUUUGUAUCGACUUAAUCGCCGAGGCUAUGGCGAGCGGGUCAUUAGUUAAUAGCGUUAUUAGGUUUAACAAACCUCACACCGUGCCAGUCGGACGGGCGUGUACUAAUGGACUAUGGCACGUCGGUGGUGAUAGAACACCGACGCUAGGGCACAAUUGAUUUUUGUUAGUAGUCGAUAUGAUAAACGAGUCUGGUAGUUUAAAAUACUUGGGUAGCUCCCCACGGCCAAAGUGUCGGGCUGGAUAGCCAGGGAAGGUGGACAUGGGAUGGUUAACUAAUAAACGUUUUCGAACUCUGGGGUCAUUAGAUGCUAUGGAGCUUGCAUAUGGAGGUGGUCGUUGUGGGAUGCGAACUGAUAUGUCUAGUACUUAAUGAAUAAACUUUAUGAACUUAUUAAACCUACUUUUGGACUUUAAAUUUAUGAACUAUGGACUUAUGUUUU